GAUGAACGCUAGCGGCAGGCUUAAUACAUGCAAGUCGAGGGGUAGCAAGAUUGUAGCAAUACAAUUGUUGACGACCGGCAAACGGGUGCGGAACACGUACGCAACCUUUCUACAAGUAGGGAAUAGCCCAGAGAAAUUUGGAUUAAUACCCCGUAACAUAGCGAUGUGGCAUCACAUUGCUAUUAUAGCUUCGGCGCUUGUUGAUGGGUGUGCGGCUGAUUAGAUCGUUGGCGGGGUAACGGCCCACCAAGUCUACGAUCAGUAGCUGAUGUGAGAGCAUGAUCAGCCACACGGGCACUGAGACACGGGCCCGACUCCUACGGGAGGCAGCAGUAAGGAAUAUUGGACAAUGGACGCAAGUCUGAUCCAGCCAUGCCGCGUGAAGGAUUAAGGUCCUCUGGAUUGUAAACUUCUUUUAUAAGGGACGAAAAAAGGUCUUUCUAGAUCGUCUGACGGUACCUUAUGAAUAAGCACCGGCUAACUCCGUGCCAGCAGCCGCAGUAAAAC
rnacentral:rRNA from 1 species